CAGUAGCCACGGUAAUACGGAGGGAGCUAGCGUUGUUCGGAAUCACUGGGCGUAAAGCGCACGUAGGCGGCUAUUCAAGUCAGGGGUGAAAGCCCGGGGCUCAACCCCGGAACUGCCUUUGAAACUAGAUAGCUUGAAUCUUGGAGAGGCGAGUGGAAUUCCGAGUGUAGAGGUGAAAUUCGUAGAUAUUCGGAAGAACACCAGUGGCGAAGGCGACUCGCUGGACAAGUAUUGACGCUGAGGUGCGAAAGCGUGGGGAGCAAACAGGAUUAGAUACCCCAGUAGUCCCUGUCUCUUAUAC
rnacentral:rRNA from 1 species